GACGAACGCUGGCGGCGUGCCUAAUACAUGCAAGUUGAGCGAUGAAGAUUGGUGCUUGCACCAAUUUGAAGAGCAGCGAACGGGUGAGUAACGCGUGGGGAAUCUGCCUUUGAGCGGGGGACAACAUUUGGAAACGAAUGCUAAUACCGCAUAAUAACUUUAAACAUAAGUUUUAAGUUUGAAAGAUGCAAUUGCAUCACUCAAAGAUGAUCCCGCGUUGUAUUAGCUAGUUGGUGAGGUAAAGGCUCACCAAGGCGAUGAUACAUAGCCGACCUGAGAGGGUGAUCGGCCACAUUGGGACUGAGACACGGCCCAAACUCCUACGGGAGGCAGCAGUAGGGAAUCUUCGGCAAUGGACGAGAGUCUGACCGAGCAACGCCGCGUGAGUGAAGAAGGUUUUCGGAUCGUAAAACUCUGUUGGUAGAGAAGAACGUUGGUGAGAGUGGAAAGCUCAUCAAGUGACGGUAACUACCCAGAAAGGGACGGCUAACUACGUG
rnacentral:rRNA from 1 species